rnacentral:precursor_RNA from 9 species
GAACUGUUGCAUUUAAUCGCGGUUCGCAAGCGGGGUACCAUCGUUCUAUGCAGUAGUGCCGGUGCAUAGAACGAUGGUAGCCCACUUGCGAACCGCUGAGCUCAUGCACCACACUG